UGCCAAAAUCAUACUUACUGGAGGCUGCUGCUGUUGCUGUACCUCGUUUGAUUUGCAUGGUAUCAUUAAACUAAACAAAUACUCUAUUGUUUUCUAUUUCUUUGUUAGUUUGUUUAUUUUUUUUAAUUUCUUUUCUGUUUUUGGUCUUUCUCAGGUACUGGUUCUCCCAAUCAGACGUCGACGAAUUCCCCUUCAUUUCUAAAUCACCAUUCGCCAACAACAUUUUUAGAUUCUCCAUAGCCACUUUCCACUGUUGACGACACAGACAUUAAUGGAAGCUUCUUCCACCACCGGAUCCAAUUCCGGUGACGCCUUUGUAUCUUCUCCUUUUGGGUAUCAACUAUUUUUCCAAGCAGAUUUGUGCCUUAUUUUGUGUUCAGCACCAGGUCUCAAGUAUGUAUGAUGAAACAGAAUCUUCGUAUGUUCUCAUGAGCUGGUGCUGUAAUUCACAAGGAUUCUUAUGUUGAAGCUAUGCGCAGGAUAUAAACAAUUUAAGGAUAAAAGUUAAAGAGAAAUAAACCAAGUUUUCUUAGGUCUGAAUACAGGAGGAAGCGUGAAAGAUAACUUCUCACCCAAAUUUUACUAGAAUUGUUACCUCUAAUAAACUAUUGACUAUGAUUCAAUGCUUCACAUGUAUACUGAGGUUGCCCAAGUUCUUCAUAGGGUCCAAAACAAUAUAUUUGAAGUUUUUGGGAACUUUGUUCUGUCUCCUUUGCAUUUGAUUUAUCUUCCUUGAGUAUGCAUAUCUAUAUGUUGUUUUCUUAGGCAUAGGACCUUCAGAGUAACAAGAGAAUAGAUAAAUGAGAUCUUGAAUUCUCAGGACAAAAU
rnacentral:lncRNA from 1 species